AUGUCUGAUAACUACAUUUCCUAUCCAUCAGUUCUACUUCAUGAAAGUUAGUUUUGGUUUGUGAGUGCAUUAAAUGUUUUACAGCAGAUUCUUUAGCUACAUUAUCAAAACUUAUCUGGGUGGCAAGUUUAUGGGACUUACUGACCAAAAGGUCAUGGUGAAUAGCUGUAAGUCAUAAAGUAGAUGAAAUUCUUGACCAAGAUGUAUCCUUCAGUAGUUUCUUCAAAGUGUCUAAAUAUGUUUCCAGCCCUCUAUUGGUUUACCACCAAAAUAUUUGUAUUUCAAAGAUCUGUGCAAAGAUUUGGCGUGCAUGUUGGUGUUAAUGCCUGCGUUCUUUUGAUAACACUGGGCCCAUGACUUCAUGCGCUCUUUAUUUUGAAAGUAGCAUUCCAAUAUGUAGCUGUAACUAUCAUCUGUCAUGAAAUAAUUGGGUACCAAAACCGAUAUUAAUGAUUUUAUUUCACCAACCAGAACCUCUUAUAUGUUGGUGUCCUUUCAGUUGGACAGAAUAAAUGUUACUGGAUAAUCAAUAUUUUUAUCAUCUAACACAUGGACUUGUGGUCAAUUCAAUGUCAUAGAGUCAGGGGUUGACAGCGAAGAUCAUUGUGAUGAACAACAUGAAUAGCAAUAAACUGAACAAGUACCACUGAGGAAGAAUGAUCAAAGUGAGCUGUAAUU